rnacentral:rRNA from 1 species
UUCAAUCGGAAGUUUUCGGACAGAAGAGUGGACAGUUUAGUGGCGAACGGGUGAGUAACGCGUGAGUAACCUGCCCUUCAGAGGGGGACAACAGUUGGAAACGACUGCUAAUACCGCAUAAGCCCACGGUACCACAUGGUACAGUGAGAAAAGGAGAAAUCCGCUGAAAGAUGGACUCGCGUCUGAUUAGAUAGUUGGUGGGGUAACGGCCUACCAAGUCGACGAUCAGUAGCCGGACUGAGAGGUUGAACGGCCACAUUGGGACUGAGAGACGGCCCAGACUCC